GUGGCUGUAGUUCAGUUGGUUAGAGCGUCAGAUUGUGGUUCUGAAUGUCGUGGGUUCGAGUCCCAUCAGCCACC
rnacentral:tRNA from 1 species